UACGGAGGGUGCAAGCGUUGUCCGGAGUUAUUGGGUUUAAAGGGUGCGUAGGCGGCCCGUUAAGUCAGCGGUGAAAUCCCGGGGCUCAACCCCGGAACUGCCGUUGAUACUGGCGGGCUUGAGUUCGGUGAAGGCGGGCGGAACUGGCGGUGUAGCGGUGAAAGGCUUAGAUACCGCCAAGAACCCCGAUUGCGUAGGCAGCUCGCUGUGCCGAAACUGACGCUGAGGCACGAAAGCGUGGGGAGCGAACAGG
rnacentral:rRNA from 1 species